rnacentral:rRNA from 1 species
AUUGAACGCUGGCGGCAUGCCUUACACAUGCAAGUCGAACGGCAGCACGGGAGCAAUCCUGGUGGCGAGUGGCGAACGGGUGAGUAAAGUAUCGGAACGUGCCCAGUCGUGGGGGAUAACGUAGCGAAAGUUACGCUAAUACCGCAUACGAUCUAUGGAUGAAAGCGGGGGAUCGCAAGACCUCGCGCGAUUGGAGCGGCCGAUAUCAGAUUAGGUAGUUGGUGGGGUAAAGGCUCACCAAGCCGACGAUCUGUAGCUGGUCUGAGAGGACGACCAGCCACACUGGGUCUGAGACACGGCCCAGACUCCUACGGUAGGCAGCAGUGGGGAAUUUGGGACAAUGUGCGAAAGCCUGAUCCAGCCAUGCCGCGUGCAGGAUGAAGGACUUCGGGUUGUAAACUGCUUUUGUACGCAACGAAAAGGUUUGGCCUAAUAAGCUGAGCUCAUGACGGUACCGUAAGAAUAAGCACCGGCUAACUACGUGCCAGCCGCCGCGGUAA